GAAAGAGACACAGCAAGAACACAUUUGUUCUAUGGAUAAAACAGAACCAGAGUUCAUGAUUCAUAGGAAAGUAUGCCUUGUUUUGGACUGCAGUCUCAGGCUGAACGUAUCUCUGUUGCUUCCAGCCUCAGAUGAGAGGCAUGAAAGUGGAGAGUUUUGGCUGGCUCUUCUGCUUCCUUUCAGGAGAAGUGCGAACUGGCAUCCAGCAGGAGUCCGAGUGGCCAUAUUCAUCACAUUCUCGGGUACACUUCCCUGUCAGGGCUACAUCUGGCAGAGGCCUUGAAUCUGAAAGUAAAAUAGAGUUGCCUUUACAAAUGAAUAAUACUGCAAUGUCUUCCAGUGACACUGAGAAUCCUUAAACACACAAUAGGUAUUUUUAAAGGUCUUGGUAAGAAUGUUGCAAUAAGUUCCAUGGUAAUAGCUUCUUUUACAUUGAAUGUGCCCAAUAGGUCAUAAGCAUAUCAGUAUAGUUAUUCUGAACCUCGAGAACUGAAAAGUAAAAAUGUUGUCAGUUUCUAUGGCUGUAAAUCAAUCUCAAAAGUAAAAUCACAUUUGACAUUAGUUACUGAAUGACUUUUGAUGUCUAAGUGUCAACCAAGCACUUAAUUCUAUUCUGCCAAUUUCCUUGAAAUUAUUAAAAAUACCUGAGUGGUUUUUUUGUUUGUUUGUUUGUUUGUUUUUUUCAAAGAAUGUUUUGAACUUCUGUGAAAGAAACUCUAGGCCCUGGACUCUGCAAAUUUUUAUGAACAUGUUUAUUUCCUGGUGUG